rnacentral:misc_RNA from 1 species
GAUGAAGAACGUAGCGAAAUGCGAUAAGUAGUGUGAAUUGCAGAAUUCAGUGAAUCAUCGAAUCUUUGAACGCACAUUGCGCCCCUUGGUAUUCCAUGGGGCAUGCCUGUUCGAGCGUCAUUUGUACCUUCAAGCUCUGCUUGGUGUUGGGUGAUUGUCUAUCUUUGUAGACUCGCCUUAAAGUCAUUGGCAGCCGGCAUAUUGGCCUGGGAGCGCAGCACAAGUCGCGCUUCUUGNNNUGAAUGUUGGCGUCCAGUAAGUCUACAUAUUUUGCUCUUGACCUCGGAUCAGGUAGGGAUACCCGCUGAACUUAAGCAUAUCAAUAAGCGGAGGA